UACGUAGGGGGCAAGCGUUGUCCGGAUUUAUUGGGCGUAAAGAGCGUGUAGGCGGCCAUACAGGUCCGUUGUGAAAACUCGAGGCUUAACCUCGAGACGUCGAUGGAAACCGUAUGGCUAGAGUCCGGAAGAGGAGAGUGGAAUUCCUGGUGUAGCGGUGAAAUGCGCAGAUAUCAGGAGGAACACCGGUGGCGAAGGCGGCACUCUGGGCCGGUACUGACGCUGAGGAGCGAAAGCGUGGGGAGCGAACAGG
rnacentral:rRNA from 1 species